GACGAACGCUGGCGGCGCGCCUAACACAUGCAAGUCGAACGAGUGGAUGGUCUUCGGACCUGAAGCUAGUGGCGGACGGGUGAGUAACACGUGAGGAACCUGCCUCUCAGAGUGGGAUACCGUUUGGAAACGAACGUUAAUACCGCAUAACGUACAUUUGUCGCAUGGCAUUUGUACCAAAGAUUUAUCGCUGAGAGAUGGCCUCGCGUCUGAUUAGAUAGUUGGUGAGGUAACGGCCCACCAAGUCUGCGAUCAGUAGCCGGACUGAGAGGUUGAUCGGCCACAUUGGGACUGAGACACGGCCCAG
rnacentral:rRNA from 1 species